GAGAAGUGAUUGAAGUGAAUAAAAGGAAGAAAAGAAAGGAAGGAAGGAAGGAAGGAAGGAAGGAAGGAAGGAAGGAAGGAAGGAAGAAAAAAGGAAAGAAAUAAAUGUUCUCUCUCCACACCUGACUGAGAUUAAAGAGUAACACAAGACAGACACCUCUCUCUCUCUUUCUCUCUCUCUCUCUCUCUCUCUCUCUCUCUCUCUCUCUCUCUCUCUCUCUCUCUCUCUCAUUCCAGAAAUUCCAGCCCUUCAUUCCAGUUCUCUUUUUUUCAAUUUUCCAGUACUGUCAAACUCAUUCCAGUCAUUCCAGUCCUUCAUUCUAGUACACUUUUUCAUCCUCCUUUGGUAUUGACUUCAUUCCAAAGAUUAUAUUCCUACAUUCCGAUUCACUUUUCCUGUAAUCUUCCAGCUGUUCCUGUCCUUCGUUCCUUCUCGUCUUUCUAAGUGUUAACCUUCCUUCAGUAGACAAAGAAUACACAGGAAAAGUAGUGUGGAAAUGUGGUGUAUUUUGUGGUAGUCCUCCUCUGGUUGUCUUGCGCUCAGGUGAAGUGCUUUGCUUGAGAGAAGAGGCUGAAGAGAGUGCGUGUGAGUGCGUUCGUAUAUGUGUGUGCGUGUAUAUCUUUUAUUUACUUUUCUGUGGCCGUCAUUCUCUUUUCAUCCAGCAUCUCCGCGUCUUAAUUCCGCGAGACAAUUAAAGCUGGAAGGAAAACAAGAUUCGCUGAGUGCUUUUUGUGGUUUUCUUUCUAUUUGUCUUCACUCGCCAGAAAAUUGAGUUAAGGAGAGUGAAUAAAUGCUUCGUGUUUGUGUUUUCUUCAUUUUUAUUCGUUCCGUGUAAAGAAAGUGAGUGUUUUUAAAAAGGUGAGAGGGAAAUAUUUACACUCUCUUAUCGAUUUUCCUCUUCGUCUCGUCAUUCAUGUGGGAAGAAGAAUAGAGAAAGUGAGAAAGAGAAAAAAGAGUGAGAAAGGAGAACAGUACAUUGCAUCUUUAAUUUCCACAAAAGAAAGAAAAACAAACAAACUUCCCCUAAAAAAAAAAAAGUCAGUCUUCCUUCC